rnacentral:rRNA from 1 species
CGCCCAGACAACCAGGAUGUUGGCUUAGAAGCAGCCAUCCAUUCAAAGAGUGCGUAACAGCUCACUGGUCGAGUGGACAUGCGCCGACAAUACACGGGGCUAAGCUGGACACCGAAGCGGCGGGAUUUUAAUUCAUUAGAAUCGGUAGGGGAGCUUCCCAUGGGCGGAGAAGCCGGAGGGCGACCGACGGUGGAGCGCAUGGGAGUGAGAAUGCUGGCAUGAGUAGCGAGAGACGAGAGAGUAACUCGUCCGCCGUGAACCCGAGGUUUCCUGGGCAAGGCUAAUCCUCCCAGGGUCAGUCGGGGGCUAAGGCGAGGCCGGUAGGCGUAGCCGACGCGCAGCAGGCAGACAUUCCUGCACCGCGCACGCGGCGCUACGACCGACGGGGCGACGGAUGGGGGUGGCUCGGCGGGGUUCUGGACGUCCCCGUGAUGGAGCGCGGCCCGCGGACCAGGGAAAUCCGGUCCGCAUUGAGGGCGAGGCUCCGGACGAAGCGAUUGAGCGAAGCGAGUGAGCCCGAGGUCCCUAGAAAAACCCCUAGGCAGGCGCGUGCGCGCCCGUACCGCAAACCGACACAGGUGGGUGGGUAGAACAUACCGAGGCGAUCGGGUCAACCAUGGUCAAGGAACUCGGCACAAUGGCCCCGUAACUUCGGGAGAAGGGGUGCCCGCGCGUACGUGAACGGACUUGCUCCGGGAGCGGAGGCGGGCCGCAGUGGAGAGGCCCAAGCGACUGUUUACCAAAAACACAGGACUCUGCAAAGCCGCAAGGCGACGUAUAGGGUCUGACGCCUGCCCGGUGCCGGAAGGUCACGCGGAGGAGUUAGCCGUUAAGGCGAAGCCCCGAAGCCAAGCCCCGGUAAACGGCGGCCGUAACUAUAACGGUCCUAAGGUAGCGAAAUUCCUUGUCGGGUAAGUUCCGACCUGCACGAAAGGCGCAACGACUUGGGCGCUGUCUCGACCAUGGACCCGGUGAAAUUGCACUGGUCGUGAAGAUGCGACUUACCCGCGGAAGGACGGAAAGACCCCGUGAACCUUCACUGCAGCUUGGCAUUGGCCGCUGGUCCCGCGUGUAGAGGAUAGGCAGGAGGCACAGAUCCGGAGGCGCCAGCCCCCGGGGAGCCGCCCUUGGAAUACUGCCCUCGCGCGACCGGCGUCCUAACCCGAGGCCGUCAACCGGCUCGGGGACCGUGCCAGGCGGGCAGUUUGACUGGGGCGGUCGCCUCCUAAAGGGUAACGGAGGCGCGCGAAGGUCCGCUCGGGACGGUCGGCAACCGUCCUUUUGAAUGCAAGAGUACAAGCGGGCUUGACUGCGAGGCCCACAAGCCGAGCAGGUGCGAAAGCAGGCUCUAGUGAUCCGGCGGCCCCGAGUGGGUGGGCCGUCGCUCAACGGAUAAAAGGUACUCCGGGGAUAACAGGCUGAUCUUGCCCAAGAGUCCACAUCGACGGCAAGGUUUGGCACCUCGAUGUCGGCUCAUCGCAUCCUGGGGCUGGAGCAGGUCCCAAGGGUACGGCUGUUCGCCGUUUAAAGCGGUACGCGAGCUGGGUUCAGAACGUCGUGAGACAGUUCGGUCCCUAUCCUCCGUGGGCGCAGGAGAAUCGAUGGAGGCUGCCCCCAGUACGAGAGGACCGGGGUGGACGCACCUCCGGUGAACCGGUUGUCGACCAACGGCACGGCCGGGUAGCCGCGUGCGGCGCGGAUAACCGCUGAAGGCAUCUAAGCGGGAAGCCGUUCCAGGGAUUAGUUCU